GCAUGUGACUGCAGUCUGGCUUUUGACGCCUGUCAUCCCGCUAAUUGCCAGAAUUUACUCUGCUGAUCUGACUGGCUAACCAGGUAUGCCUUCCCCCUCACUACUCCCUGGAUGUCCAGCUAAGAGCCACCUGCAGAGGAGGGCCUGUCCAGGUCAAACAUCUAGGAGUAGCCUUGAUCCCCUGCCAGAAAUUCCAAACAAGCUCUCAGGGUGGACACUGCCCUUUCCUCUUACUUUAUAAGCUCGGCUGGGAGUUGCGGCAAUAAAGGGAAAUGUCUGAUUCUCUGGACAACUGGGGGCACCUGGCUGUGGAGUUCAAGA
ensembl:misc_RNA 7SK 7SK RNA